rnacentral:lncRNA from 1 species
UGUAGACUGACAGUUUACUGGUCACCUGCACUAACAGCCUGAGAGAAAAGGACACUGCAUAUCACAGAGAGAUGCAUAGAUGUUACACUCAGAAAGAGAGUGAACAACUAGAAGAUGUGGAAGAAAAUUCCAAGGGCCAAUUUUGAAACAAACCAGGCAGAGACCCAGAUGCAGAAUCCUGCAGGCUGAGGGAUGUUAGGAAGAGUUAGCCCACCACUGCUGCGCUGAAACCAGGAUGACGCAAACUGGGCCUCAGGCCAGUAGAUCAAUAAACCAAACUCCCUGUCACCUCAGACUCUGCACCUGUUAAAGCCCUGUAAAGAGCCGACAUGUAAGGACUUAUACUGACUGGAUACAGAGAAUAUGGAGCAAAUCAAACGCUUAGAAUAUAAACUGACACCUUGAAGAAGUGACCAUCUUGUAAUCAACACUUUAUUCUAAGGAUAACAGAGAUAAAUGAUAUAAGGAUCUCUGUUUCUUAAUGGCAUUGUUGAGCCCUAAACUUUCUACUGCUAGAUAUUUUAUCGCAUGAAAUAAAUAAGCCUUAGUUGCUUAAAA